rnacentral:tRNA from 1 species
GCCUUCGUGGUGUAAUGGUAGCACACUCGGCGCGUAUUCAAGAGGUCUAGGUUCGAGUCCCGGCGAGGACA